rnacentral:lncRNA from 1 species
CCUCUACUUCUACUCCAAUCAGCAUUUUACACAGCCCUGGAGACAGCCUGGGGACUCCAUCCAAGGGGCCCAGGCCGCGGUCAGGGGAGAAGGGAGCGGAAGCAUUCAGGCCUGGCGGGAGCAGCCAGCUCCCCACAACACCUGCCGCUGUCCGGGAAGUCCUUCCACCGAAGCUCCCUCCCUGCCCAGAACCUCAGGGCUCCCGGGAGCCGGCACAGAGGGCCCCUCAGCUGGAGCAUUUUAAGGGCUGGCUCAAUGUGCAGAAGUGAACUACCUAUCCUUUCUACCUGGCAGGGCAACUGAGGGGUCAAGUAACAUAACGGGUUUCUUGGGAAGAAGGGUCCUUGGAACUGAAGAUGAUUUUGGGGAGUGAAAGAAACCACCUUUUCCUGGUAGUAGCAGAGCCAAAACUCCAGCCUUCAACCCACAGACCCGGGUCUGUCCCCAGGCAUUAGCACCCUCCUCGGGGCCCCGUUGUCAUCUGUGACUUUUGCCUCCUGCAUCUCAGUUUCCGUGCCUGUCAAGUGGAGAUAUGAUACCUCAUUCUGGGGAGAGACAAUGAAGUACUGCGGUGAAAAGUACACGUGCUGUACAAAAUUAGGAAAUCCUCGUCACCAGACUUAGAGAAACAUACAAAGUGGAGUUGACUCCCAGGAUGGAGACACAGCUUCCCAGAAUCCUGUUUCACCUGAGGCACAGAAGCUUUCCUUUGUUCACCGUUGCCAGCAGUUAUUGGACUGUGGCUGGGAUUACCUGUCAGAAUUCACAGGUGAGCUCCACUCUGCACAGGGCCAUGAGAUCCUCUGCCCAAUCCACCCCGGCUCCCCUCCAUCUGUUCACACACAUCUGUCUUCUUUUCUGUCAAGUCACAGAUGGAAGAUUUGUCUAUAUAGAGAUUUAAAACUGCAGCGUAGUGUUUUUUUUAAAAAAACAAACAAAUCAAGACUAUCACUAAAAUCAGAGUGGAAAGACCAGCCACAAAGAUUUUGUAAAAUUCUACAAAAAGAAAAAAAAGACAAAGGGUUAUAAUACUCCUGUUAUAAAAUGUGCACUUACUUUUCAGUAAGAAUUAAAUGAGCACAUUGAAAAAUCGGGAGGACAGGACUGUGUAAAUCUGAGAAAAGAAAUAUAAUUGCCCAAGAACUAUGAAAAGAUAACGACAUUCCAACUUACAUUAAUCAGCAAAAUGCACAUUUUAUUUAAAUUUAAAUUUUACAUUGUAUUGGAACAGUUUUAGAUUGGCAAAGAAUAAACACAGUGAUAAAACCAAGUGUAGGAAAGGUCUAGAAAAUAUGAGCGAUUUCACAUUCUACUGUUAGGACUGUAAAUGGAUACAACACUUUAGGAAGCCGUGGUUGAAACUGCACCUGUGUUCAGUACUACCACUGAUGAAGAUCUUGGUGUUUUUUUGUUUGUUUGUUUGUUUUUUAUUAUACUUUAAGUUCUAGGGUACAUGUGCACAACGUGCAGGUUUCUUACAUAUGUAUACAUGUGCCAUGUUGGUGUGCUGCACCCAUUAACUCGUCAUUUACAUUAGGUAUAUCUCCUAAUGCUAUCUCUCCCCACCAUACCGCAACAGAUCUGGAGUGGACCU